UACGUAGGGUGCGAGCGUUGUCCGGAAUUAUUGGGCGUAAAGGGCUCGUAGGCGGUCUGUCACGUCGGGAGUGAAAACACGGGGCUUAACCCCGUGCCUGCUUCCGAUACGGGCAGACUAGAGGUAUGCAGGGGAGAACGGAAUUCCUGGUGUAGCGGUGAAAUGCGCAGAUAUCAGGAGGAACACCGGUGGCGAAGGCGGUUCUCUGGGCAUUACCUGACGCUGAGGAGCGAAAGUGUGGGGAGCAAACCGG
rnacentral:rRNA from 1 species